rnacentral:rRNA from 1 species
AGCAGUAGCCGCGGGAAUACGAAGGGGGCUAGCGUUGUUCGGAAUUACUGGGCGUAAAGCGCACGUAGGCGGAUUUUUAAGUCAGGGGUGAAAUCCCGAGGCUCAACCUCGGAACUGCCUUUGAUACUGGAGAUCUUGAGUUCGGAAGAGGUUGGUGGAACAGCUAGUGUAGAGGUGAAAUUCGUAGAUAUUAGCUAGAACACCAGUGGCGAAGGCGGCCAACUGGUCCGAUACUGACGCUGAGGUGCGAAAGCGUGGGGAGCAAACAGGAUUAGAUACCCCAGUAGUCCCUGUCUCUUAUAC